UACAGAGGAUGCAAGCGUUAUCCGGAAUGAUUGGGCGUAAAGCGUCUGUAGGUGGCUUUUUAAGUCCGCCGUCAAAUCCCAGGGCUCAACUCUGGACAGGCGGUGGAAACUACCAAGCUGGAGUACGGUAGGGGCAGAGGGAAUUUCCGGUGGAGCGGUGAAAUGCGUAGAGAUCGGAAAGAACACCAGCGGCGAAAGCACUCUGCUGGGCCGACACUGACGCUGAUGCGCGAAAGCCAGGGGAGCGAACGGGG
rnacentral:rRNA from 1 species